UGCAGCUCAGUGGUAGAGCAUUUGCCUCACAUGUGAUAGGCCCUGGGUUCAAUUCCCAGCA
rnacentral:tRNA from 1 species